UUUUUACUUAAACAUUAUCAGAGAGGUUAUGAAGCCUUCCUGAAUGCUCAUUCAAGGUUGUACAAGAAGCAUGGCACCAGCAUCUGCAUCUGAUGAGGACCUCAGGGUGCUUCCACUUGUGGCGGAAGAAGGGGAGCCAGCAUGUGCAGAUACCACACGGCGAGAGAUGAAGGAAGAGAAAGAGGAGGAAGGUUCCAGGCUCUUUUUAACAAUCAGACCUCACAGGAACUAAUAGUGUGAGAAGAUGUUUAACAUAUUCUAAUAAGAUAUUCCUAAUAAAUUGCCAUGAGAUAACUGCUGUA
ensembl:lncRNA novel transcript